CUUGGACAAAGUUAUUAUCCAAAGUCAAGAUUCAUUCAAGAAAGGGGCUGAAUUUUAAGCGAUCUGAACUACAUUCCACUGACGUCUCCGAACGUAGGACAAAUGUGUUAUCCAAGGCCAAGUUUAGUCCAGAAAUGGAUCUGAAUCUUCAUCGACCUGUUUUCUCAAGGACGUGCCCACGUCCAUCUCAAAUGCCAAUAGCUGGA